rnacentral:tRNA from 1 species
GUCUGUUGGUGGUGCAGUUAACAUGCUCAGCUGCUAACUAAAAGUUUGGAGGUUCAAGUCCUCCCACAGGCA